GCAUGGGUUUGGAUUUAUGGCAGGCCCGUCCUCCUGAGUCUCUCACAGUACCCCAUGCCAGGGCAAACCAUGGCCUUGAACUAUUGCCCAGUCUCUGCCUACAGGCUAAAGACAGUGAAGCAGGUUGCACAGUG
ensembl:snoRNA small nucleolar RNA SNORA42/SNORA80 family